rnacentral:rRNA from 1 species
UACGUAGGCAGCGAGCGUUUGUUCGGAAUUACUGGGCGUAAAGAGUGUGUAGGCGGUGUUCCCAGUCUGUUGUGAAAUCUCCCGGCUUAACUGGGAGGGUGCAGCGGAAACUAGAAUGCUAGAGGGUGGGAGAGGUAAGCGGAAUUCCUGGUGUAGCGGUGAAAUGCGUAGAUAUCAGGAGGAACACCUGUGGUGUAGACAGCUUACUGGACCACUUCUGACGCUGGAGACACGAAAGCGUGGGUAGCAAACAGG